rnacentral:rRNA from 1 species
UACAAAGGGUGCGAGCGUUGUUCGGAAUUAUUGGGCGUAAAGGGCGCGUAGGCGGUGCGGUAAGUCACCUGUGAAAUCUCCUGGCUCAACUGGGAGCUUGCAGGCGAAACUGCCGUGCUGGAGUGUGGGAGAGGUGCGUGGAAUUCCUGGUGUAGCGGUGAAAUGCGCAGAUAUCAGGAGGAACACCGAUGGCGAAGGCAGGUCUCUGGGCCACUACUGACGCUGAGAAGCGAAAGCAUGGGGAGCGAACAGG